UGUGAUGAAGGCCUUAUCGCGUUGUAAGAGCACUUAUACAGCGACGAGGAUGCUACUGAUAGAUCCAGUACCUAUAGAUACUUGGACGUUACUCACAGACUAAGCAGCCAGGCUAACUCUGUGCCAGCAGCCGCGGUAAUACAGAGGGUGCAAGCGUUAAUCGGAUUUACUGGGCGUAAAGCGCGCGUAGGCGGCUAAUUAAGUCAAAUGUGAAAUCCCCGAGCUUAACUUGGGAAUUGCAUUCGAUACUGGUUAGCUAGAGUGUGGGAGAGGAUGGUGGAAUUCCAGGUGUAGCGGUGAAAUGCGUAGAGAUCUGGAGGAAUACCGAUGGCGAAGGCAGCCAUCUGGCCUAACACUGACGCUGAGGUGCGAAAGCAUGGGGAGCAAACAGGAUUAGAUACCCUGGUAGUCCAUGCCGUAAACGAUGUCUACUAGCCGUUGGGGCCUUUGAGGCUUUAGUGGCGCAGCUAACGCGAUAAGUAGACCGCCUGGGGAGUACGGUCGCAAGACUAAAACUCAGAUGAAUUGACGGG
rnacentral:rRNA from 1 species